rnacentral:antisense_RNA from 1 species
CUUCAGCGAGCCGAGCCACAGCGGCUCCUCGCCGAAGCGCUCCUGCCCGUACGUCGCCAGCAGCGCCUGCGCCUC